rnacentral:rRNA from 1 species
AGUGAACGCUGGCGGUAGGCCUAACACAUGCAAGUCGAACGGCAGCACAGGAGAGCUUGCUCUCCGGGUGGCGAGUGGCGGACGGGUGAGGAAUACAUCGGAAUCUACCUUUUCGGGGGGGAUAACGUAGGGAAACUGACGCUAAUACCGCAUACGACCUACUGUUGACAGUGGGGGACCGCAAGGCCUCACGCGAUUAGUCGCGCCGAUGUCCGAUUAGCUAGUUGGCGGGGUAAUGGCCCACCAAGGCGACGAUCGGUAGCUGGUCUGAGAGGAUGAUCAGCCACACUGGAACUGAGACACGGUCCAGACUCCUACGGGAGGCAGCAGUGGGGAAUAUUGGACAAUGGGCGCAAGCCUGAUCCAGCCAUACCGCGUGGGUGAAGAAGGCCUUCGGGUUGUAAAGCCCUUUUGUUGGGAAAGAAAUCCUGUCGAUUAAUACUCGGUGGGGAUGACGGUACCCAAAGAAUAAGCACCGGCUAACUUCGUGCCAGCCGCCGCUGUAAAAC